rnacentral:rRNA from 1 species
UGGGGAAUAUUGGACAAUGGGCGCAAGCCUGAUCCAGCCAUGCCGCGUGAGUGAUGAAGGCCCUAGGGUUGUAAAGCUCUUUCACCGGUGAAGAUAAUGACGGUAACCGGAGAAGAAGCCCCGGCUAACUUCGUGCCAGCAGCCGCGGUAAUACGAAGGGGGCUAGCGUUGUUCGGAAUUACUGGGCGUAAAGCGCACGUAGGCGGACAUUUAAGUCAGGGGUGAAAUCCCGGGGCUCAACCCCGGAACUGCCUUUGAUACUGGGUGUCUAGAGUUCGAGAGAGGUGAGUGGAAUUCCGAGUGUAGAGGUGAAAUUCGUAGAUAUUCGGAGGAACACCAGUGGCGAAGGCGGCUCACUGGCUCGAUACUGACGCUGAGGUGCGAAAGCGUGGGGAGCAAAACAGGAUUAGAUACCCUGGUAGUCCACGCCGUAAACGAUGGAAGCCAGCUGUCGGCAAGUUUACUUGUCGGUGGCGCAGCUAACGCAUUAAGCUUCCCGCCU